CCAGACUCCUACGGGAGGCAGCAGUGAGGAAUAUUGGUCAAUGGGCGAGAGCCUGAACCAGCCAAGUCGCGUGAGGGACGACGGCCCUACGGGUUGUAAACCUCUUUUGCCGGGGGACAAACGGCGGCACGCGUGCCGUCCUGAGGGUACCCGGAGAAAAAGCAUCGGCUAACUCCGUGCCAGCAGCCGCGGUAAUACGGAGGAUGCGAGCGUUAUCCGGAUUUAUUGGGUUUAAAGGGUGCGUAGGCGGGAUGCCAAGUCAGCGGUAAAAAUGCGGUGCUCAACGCCGUCGAGCCGUUGAAACUGGCGUUCUUGAGUGGGCGAGAAGUAUGCGGAAUGCGUGGUGUAGCGGUGAAAUGCAUAGAUAUCACGCAGAACUCCGAUUGCGAAGGCAGCAUACCGGCGCCCUACUGACGCUGAGGCACGAAAGCGUGGGUAUCGAACAGGAUUAGAUACCCGAGUAA
rnacentral:rRNA from 1 species